rnacentral:sRNA from 1 species
AGAGAGAGAAAGAGAAAAGGGAACUAUCUCAGAGAAUGAAAUCAAGCGGCUCAAUGAACUGCUAAAUGAAAGUACAGAACAACUUUUAGAAAAGACAAGAGAAUUAGAUCUUCUGAAAGACUCAAUUAGUAGGACUUCUUCUUUAGAAACAGACAGCGCUAUAGUAAGUUGAACUCUGUUUUAAUAAGUAAACUUACAUUUGGUUUUAAGUAUUCUAGGUGUAA